GGGGCUGUGGCUCAGCGGUAGAGCAUCUGCGUGGUAUACAGAAGGUCUUAGGUUCAAUUCUCAACAUCUCUG
rnacentral:tRNA from 1 species